AGAGUUUGAUCAUGGCUCAGAACGAACGCUGGCGGCGCGUCUUAAGCAUGCAAGUCGAACGGCAAGGCAGGUGCUUGCACCUGCCCUAGAGUGGCGGACUGGUGAGUAACACGUGGGUGACAUGCCUUUUAGUUGGGGAUAGCUACUAGAAAUAGUAGAUAAUACCGAAUGUGAUCAAUAUUUAUAGAUGAUGUUGAGGAAAGGAGCUAAGGCUUCGCUAAAAGAUUGGCCCGCGGCCCAUUAGCUAGUUGGUAGGGUAAAGGCUUACCAAGGCGAUGAUGGGUAUCCGGCCUGAGAGGGUGAUCGGACACAUUGGGACUGAGAUACGGCCCAGACUCCUACGGGAGGCAGCAGCUAAGAAUAUUCCACAAUGGACGAAAGUCUGAUGGAGCGACGCCGCGUGGAUGAUGAAGGCCGAAAGGUUGUAAAAUCCUUUUACACUGGAGGAAUAAGCAGAGUAGGGAAUGACUCUGUGAUGACUGUACAGUUUGAAUAAGCAACGGCUAAUUACGUGCCAGCAGCCGCGGUAACACGUAAGUUGCGAGCGUUGUUCGGAAUUAUUGGGCGUAAAGGGCAUGUAGGCGGAUUUGCAAGCUUGAUGUGAAAUCCCGCAGCUUAACUGCGGAACUGCAUUGGGAACUGCAAGACUAGAGUUACUGAGGGGAAACUAGAAUUCCAAGUGUAGGGGUGAAAUCUGUAGAUAUUUGGAAGAAUACCAAUGGCGAAGGCAAGUUUCUGGCAGACAACUGACGCUGAGGUGCGAAGGUGCGGGGAGCAAACAGGAUUAGAUACCCUGGUAGUCCGCACAGUAAACGAUGUACACUAG
rnacentral:rRNA from 1 species